AGUGAACGCUGGCGGUAGGCCUAACACAUGCAAGUCGAACGGCAGCACAGUAAGAGCUUGCUCUUACGGGUGGCGAGUGGCGGACGGGUGAGGAAUACAUCGGAAUCUACUUUUUCGUGGGGGAUAACGUAGGGAAACUUACGCUAAUACCCCAUACGACCUACGGGUGAAAUCAGGGGAUCUUCGGACCUUGCGCGAUUGAAGGAGCCGAUGUCGGAUUAGCUAGUUGGCGGGGUAAAGGCCCACCAAGGCGACGAUCCGUAGCUGGUCUGAGAGGAUGAUCAGCCACACUGGAACUGAGACACGGUCCAGACUCCUAUGGGAGGCAGCAGUGGGGAAUAUUGGACAAUGGGCGCAAGCCUGAUCCAGCCAUACCGCGUGGGUGAAGAAGGCCUUCGGGUUGUAAAGCCCUUUUGUUGGGAAAGAAAAGCAGCAGGUUAAUACCCCGCUGUUCUGACGGUACCCAAAGAAUAAGCACCGGCUAACUUCGUG
rnacentral:rRNA from 1 species